rnacentral:rRNA from 1 species
UGAGUACGUGGACGUAGACCCGAAACCGGGUGAUCUACCCCUGUCCAGGGUGAAGGUGCGGUAACACGCACUGGAGGCCCGAACCCACGCAUGUUGAAAAAUGCGGGGAUGAGGUGGGGGUAGCGGAGAAAUUCCAAUCGAACCCGGAGAUAGCUGGUUCUCCCCGAAAUAGCUUUAGGGCUAGCCUCGGAAAGAAGAAUCGUGGAGGUAGAGCACUGAUUGGGUGCGGGGCCCGCAAGGGUUACCAAGCUCAGUCAAACUCCGAAUGCCAUAGAUUUAGUUCCGGGAGUCAGACAGUGAGUGCUAAGAUCCAUUGUCGAAAGGGAAACAGCCCAGACCAUCAGCUAAGGUCCCCAAGUGUGUGUUAAGUGGGAAAGGAUGUGGAGUUGCACAGACAACCAGGAUGUUGGCUUAGAAGCAGCCACCAUUGAAAGAGUGCGUAAUAGCUCACUGGUCGAGUGACUCUGCGCCGAAAAUGUAACGGGGCUAAACACACCACCGAAGCUAUGGCUUGAUGCUUGCAUCAGGGGUAGGGGAGCGUUGAAUGCGGGUUGAAGGUGUACCGGAAGGAGCGCUGGACUGCAUUCAAGUGAGAAUGCCGGUAUGAGUAACGAAAAGAUCUGUGAGAAUCAGAUCCGCCGAAAGCCUAAGGGUUCCUGAGGAAGGUUCGUCCGCUCAGGGUAAGUCGGGACCUAAGGCGAGGCCGAUAGGCGUAGUCGAAGGACAACAGGUCGAAAUUCCUGUACCACCGUAAUCCG